AAAAAAAAUCAUUCCCGCGGAUUUGAACGUUACUACAACCACUCGUUUUCUUUCUCUUUCUGUCAUCGUCCCAAAUUCUCGUUUGCUUCUUUCCCCUUUCAGAUAACAACAACAAUGGCGCACAGACUCUCACUGCAUUUCAAUCAUACUUCUCUCCUUCAAAACCGCAAACUCAUUUCACACCCCAACCGCCACUUACCUCGUGUUUCCCUGGCCCCUUCCCUUCUCAAGAACGCCACUAUCCAUUCAACUAACCAAUGCAUUAUAUCGUCGAAGCACCGUCACUUGGGACUAACAGCUUGCGUAGUUCAAAAUCACAACGUCAUAGAUGAAUCUGAAGACAUGGAACAAAUAAGCGAGGGUUUUGAUAUGGACAGAGAUGAAGAAGAAGUGAAUGUGCUGGUUGAGCAGAGUAUAUGGAUUCAGAUAAAGGAAAUUGUUUUGUUUACUGGACCGGCAAUUGGACUUUGGUUGUGUGGACCGUUGAUGAGUCUCAUCGAUACUGCAGUUGUUGGUCAAGGAAGUUCAAUUGAACUAGCUGCUUUAGGUCCUGCUACUGUUUUUUGCGAUUAUUUGGGCUACUCUUUCAUGUUUCUGUCGAUUGCUACUUCAAAUAUGGUUGCUACUGCACUUGCUAAACAGGAUAGGGAGGAAGUGCAGCAUCACAUAUCCGUCUUGCUUUUUAUUGGUUUAUCAUGUGGCUUGGCGAUGCUUUUGUUCACGAGGUUAUUUGGUGCAACAAUGCUUGCAGCUUUUACUGGACAGAAGAAUGUUCAUAUAGUACCAGCAGCUAAUACUUAUGUCCAGAUUCGAGGGUUGGCAUGGCCUUGUUUACUUGUUGGAUCAGUUUCUCAGAGUGCAAGUCUUGGUAUGAAAGAUUCUUGGGGACCCUUGAAGGCUUUGGCGGUUGCUAGUAUUAUAAAUGGAAUUGGUGAUAUAAUUCUGUGCAGAUAUUUAGGCUAUGGUAUUGCUGGGGCUGCAUGGGCUACAUUGGCAUCACAAGUUGUUGCUGCGUAUAUGAUGAGCCAAACUCUAAACGAGAAGGGAUACAAUGCAUUUGCCUUCUCCAUUCCUUCAGGGAAGGAGUUUCUGUCAAUAUUUAGCCUUGCUGCUCCUGUAUUUGUGACGUUGAUGUUAAAGGUGGCUUUCUACUCGCUAAUUAUAUAUUUUGCUACAUCAAUGGGUACACAUAAAAUGGCUGCUCAUCAAGUCAUGCUUCAGAUCUACAUGUUAUGUGCAAUAUGUGGUGAACCUCUCUCCCAAACUGCUCAAUCAUUUAUGCCUGAGUUGAUGUAUGGAGUAAAUCGGAGUUUGGCAAAGGCUCGGUCACUGCUAAGUUCUCUUGUAACUAUUGGAGCUGUAUUUGGGUUGCUUUUGGGGAUUGUUGGGACAUUUGUUCCUUGGUUAUUCCCCUACAUUUUUACACCCGAUCAGAUGGUCAUCAAGGAGAUGCAUAAGAUUCUGAUUCCAUACUUUUUAGCGCUAGUGGUGACACCUGCAACUGUCGGCCUAGAGGGAACAUUGCUGGCUGGAAGGGAUCUAAGAUUUAUAAGUUUGUCAAUGAGUGGAUGCUUUUGUUUGAAUGGUCUUGUAUUACUGAUCCUUUGUAGAUAUGGUUUGCUAGGCUGCUGGUUUGCCCUUGCUGGAUUUCAAUGGACUCGAUUUUCAAUGGCCCUUCUGCGCCUUCUAUCUCCCAAAGGCAUUUUAUACUCGGAAGAUACAAGUCAGUAUGAGCUGCAAAAGUUGAAGACCGCAUAGUAUUGGAGCUCCGUUUAGUUCAUGAUACAUUAUACAAAUAGAAGCAUGUUGUAUGUUGCUUGCAAAUCUUGAUAAAUAUGUUACAAGAUAGGCAUCCAUUUCGAUGCCGAUACAAUUCAGUGCAGGGAAACUACUGGUGCUGAGUUGUAUCGGAAACCAAGUGGGGAAAUGGGGAUGUGAUGUGGGGAAAUUGAAUCCACCGCCACCGCCACCGCACUGAAAGUAUCUUCUUUGUGAUCAAGUGAGGGGCUACUGGGGUAAAGCUCCAGAUUUUCGUUCAAGAAAAAGAGCUUUGGGCAUCGAUGGAAUUGAUUCUGCUCUGAAAAAGGUGCACAGGAUGCACAUGUUAAAUAGAAAGUCAAAGAUGCACAAGUCAUGGGAUGGAUCAUAGGCUCUAUUGAUCCUAAUAUCGUUUUCAAUCUUCUACCUUUCAUCAAUCAGCUAAGAUGUGGGACUACUUGAUGAAAAUAUAUAGUCAAAACAACGUUGUUUGUUGGUUCCAGCUUGAACAUGAAAUUGCAAUUGUUUAGCGGGAAAGUCUUUCCAUUCCUGAGUUUUAUUAUCAUUUUAUGAAUCUUUGGGCUAAAUACACAAAUAUUAUCUAUAGACAUUUGUCAACUGAAGGACACACACAACAGUGGAAGGCUGUUUCUCUUCCUGUGGCAUAUGUCCUACAAGUUCGGCCUCAGGGGAGAGACAUGUGUAUUGUCCAAUGUUUCUGUUGCAAUGAACAUGGACAAUAUGCUUCCAACUGUCUAAAACGUUCAACAAUUACUGCAAAAAGGAUCGUCAUGUCAUUAAAAACACCCAACCAAGCCACCGAGGAAAACAACAACAACCUUCAUUACCUCUGUUGGUUCUUCUCCAACUCUUAUCUCUGUAUAACCUGCAUUCCACAACUACAAGUUUGAACCCGGAAAUGGUUCAACAAAUGAUCAUUUCAUCUUUUUCUGCUUUGGGUCUUUCGGGUCACCUUUCUUUCCUUAGCUCUCCUUGGUAUUUUGACUCUUGGCAUCCAAUCAUAUGACCAAAGAUGUUGUCCUUACCAAUGUUACAAAUUACUUUGGUGAUCUUCUAAUACAUACUGCUGAUGGCAACAAUUUGUCUAUCAAAGCAGUUGAUGGAUCAACAACAAGGGAAGACGAUCGUGAAAGAGCCUUAACGUGAAUGUCUUUUUGCGUUUUAAGGCUAAACCAUUUUUUGCAUUCGAAUUUAUGUGCCUAUGUUUAGACUCAAUUUUCAUCUAAAAUUUAUAUUUUAGGAUCUGAUAAUGGGGGAAUAGACAUCUGUUAUAUUUCAAGAAUUCUUGGAAAUAAAUGGUAUAAUAUCCCAAUGCUCGUGCCCUUCUACACACACAAACAGAACAGAGGAGUUGAAAGAAAAAAUUGUCAUCUACCUGAUGUUGUUUGUACCUUGAUGUUGGUUUCCCUUAUACUCACUUGAUUAUGGUGUGAAAUCGUCUCCACCGUUAUCCAUUAUAUAAUCGUCUCCUUUCUCAAGCCUUGAACAAUGAUUCCCCAUUUUAAAGAUUA